UGAGGGCAAGGCACAGCAUAAUCAGCUGAUGGCCCUCCCAUAACAGCCUAUUGACUACUGAGGUUGCCUUCAAGACAGUGCGCAGGGCGUCACACAUCAAUGUGAUUGGCUUCAGACUGUUGAUGUAAUGAUGAUCAUGUAAGAUCAGUUUGACAUUGAGCUAUCUGUUAUAUAUGCUCUGGGAAAGUCAGGAUUCUUCUUCCAACUGCAGUGUGCAAAGAAUAUGGGUGAAAUUACAUCACUACUGCAUUCUCUAAAACAGAGAUUCAGAGGGAUCAUUGCCCAGCACUUUCUCUGAAUGAGGAGUUCCCCUAAUAGUGAUUGAAGAGGCAGACCCAUGGGGUUAAAGUCUUGCAAACCUUGCAACUCCUGCCUGCAAAGUAAGGAGGACUGCAGAGCGGCUGAUGGCUGCUCAUGUGUGUGUGACCACUGGAGAUAUUGCUCUGAACACUGCUGUGACAUCUGCUGCCAGAUGUGUGUGGACGUGUGCUCUGGCUUAUGUUCAGGAGACUGCAGCUACACCUUCUGUACUCUCUGCCUCGGCAUGGCACAGAACUGUAUCUCCUUUUUUACCACCCAAAAAACUGAAUCAUCAGAGUCACAACAGGCUAUGAUGGAUCCAGUACAGCGUGCCUUUUGAACAUGAUGGACCAGUGACCAAACCAAAAAUUUGGAUUGAUUUGAAAACACAAUGCAAGUAAAUUCAGCUACAUAGCAUUUGUUUAUACAAUUAAAAAAAUAAAGGUUGAUGACAUGGUG